rnacentral:lncRNA from 1 species
ACCAACAUUACUAAUAUAUCAUAUAUAGUAGUCUUAUAAAACGACUCCUCAGCGGACACAGCGUAUAGCUAGGAAUUGAUGAUCCAUUGAAAUGUGAUAUCCAACAAAUUCUAUCAGUACAAGAUGAGGGGAAAAAACCAUUUACUUUCAACAAACAAAAGCAGUCUCCUACAUUUUCAUAACCAGCCAAGGUAAGUCCCUAAAGGGAAGAUGGGUUAAGUAGUUCAUGGAUUUCUUGUCCUUACAAGCCAUCACCAGUUAAGGUAAGUUCAAAAGGGAAAAUGUGUUAAAUAGUUCACGGAUUUCUUGUCCCUACAAGACAUAUUAAACAUCAACAGUUUUAACAAGUGAGGAAGUGCAAAUUGACCAAUGCGGUUUUACCCUCCGCGCAUAUGUGCACCCA